rnacentral:lncRNA from 1 species
CUCUGAUUGACUAAAAAAAGAUCCAUUCUGAUUGAGGAGGUGGAGAGAGUCUAUUGCCGGAAGGUUCGCCGGCGGAUGGAAUGAGGCGAACGGUGAUGGAGGGGACGCUGCAGGAGGGCACGGGUUUGAGCGGCGACGGGCGGAUCUGAUGGGCAUCAGGAACGGCAGCAAUGAGCGGCGAAGGGCAAAUCGCAGCUCGGGGCAGGCGGGAGCAGUAAGAAGGGACAACUCGCCGACGGGGUGAAAUAAGAAGUGAGGAAAUGGAGUUUAAAUUUGAACACUGCUAUUGAGACUUUCACGUUGUGUAUGGUCUUGCAUUCUUGCUUGAUUUAUUUGCCAGUAGAAAUCGAUGGUGUGAUACGAAUUGGUGUGAAUGGUGGUUGGUUUGUACUUCUAGUUUAAUCUGUCAGUCCUGUAGUAUCCAUGGUGUUACACUGGAUCAGUGUGAAAGGAUGACUGUUUACAGCUGCUAUGAUAAUUUUAAGAAUCG